AUAUGUAUAUUAGAUUAAUAAAAAAAAUCCGCUGUGGAACAUGCUGUGUAACAUGCCGUGGAAUAUGCUAUGAAAUAUACUGUGAAUUAUGCUAUGAAAUAAUAUGAAAUAUUUCACCUGAGAUCCUGAGAUCGCUUGAGAUUGCUGGAAACUGACUGGAAAUAAAGAGAUCCACAGCAAUGAAUAUGAUUGGCGGAAUGUGGCGGUGGCGAUGAGAAGCUCGUUGCACGGAGCACGAGCGUAGUUAAACUGGCGCAGGCUCACAUCUAUCGAUCUUCUGAAAAUGUAUACUACACGACCGACCGCCAUUGCUGCCGUUGCAUCCUUAAAGUCUCAUCUUUUCAUUAAGCAAUAAUUAAACGAAUUCUCUCGUUACGAAAACGGCUACCUACUGACCUUAAGGAUCCAAGCUUUCUGGGCUUAGCGGUAGUUCUGAGACACCCUGUAUAGUAAAAGCUCCGAGCUUAGAGCGACGAUCGGAUGUCAGACGAUCGAUCAAGGAAUGGAAAAUUUCUAAAAAGAACUGUAAUUUAAAAAAUUGAAAGAAUAUCCAUGCAGUUUUCCUCUGUUUAAAGGAUCGAUGAUUGUUUACUACGUAACUAUUUAGUACGUAUAUACUUAUUGAGUAGUUAUGUAUGUAUAUAUGUCUAUCCAAAAUAAAUCGUAUUCCGAGAUGAUUUUAUAUUCAUGAAUAUUAUCCGUGACAUUCCCUAAAAGUAGGUUGCUGCCAAAUCGAUAUGUAAUCUACUAAGUUCUUUCAUGUUAUUAUUACCUAAGAGGAGAAUAAAAUCAAUAGCACGACUACUACAAAACUAUUAUUUGCAAGUUGUAUUAUGAAUCGUAGCGAUCGAGGCAAUUUGAUUUGUGAAAAAACGUACCUGUUACGAGAUUCUUGUAACAAUACUUUGAAUCUUUCUUCUAGUCUUAUCCUUUCUUCUUCGCUGCAAUGGUCGUGUAAUUUGUACAAUAACUCUGUUAAUAACCUUACUAUAUAUCAUAAAUUGUAAUGCCAUAUAUCCUCGUCGCAUGUCGCACGUCCCACACGAUUUGCUUACCUUUUUCGUAAUUUUUCUUGUAGUUCCAACAUUUUUUUAUAGUAGCCAUGACUAUCGUAGAACGAUGUCAUGGUAUGUGCGCAUACAUAAACUGUUCGAUUGAAUUUCCCAGUGAUUGAAGAAACCGGUAGCGUCGAUUGUUUCGACUUUUGAUAUGUUGUCAACCGAUUUAUUUAAAUAAAAGACUUUUCAACAAAGCUUUCGCAGGUGAACCGUACAACAGCGAAUCAUGUUGCACAAGAACAUUGUAGAACAUUUUGCCAAUAAAUAUUGUGUUUAAGUAA